GAUGAACGCUGGCGGCGUGCCUAAUACAUGCAAGUCGAACGCUGGAGAUCUAGCUUGCUAGAUCGAAGGAGUGGCGAACGGGUGAGUAAUACAUAAGCAACCUACCCACGAAGACUGGGAUAAUCUCUGGAAACGGGGACUAAUACCGGAUAGGUAAUCGGAAGGCAUCUUCUGGUUAUUAAAGGUUAAAAACACUGGUGGAUGGGCUUAUGGCGCAUUAGUUAGUUGGUGAGGUAACGGCCCACCAAGACGAUGAUGCGUAGCCGGCCUGAGAGGGUGAACGGCCACAUUGGGACUGAGACACGGCCCAGACUCCUACGGGAGGCAGCAGUAGGGAAUUUUCGGCAGUGGGGGCAACCCUGACCGAGCAACGCCGCGUGAGUGAAGACGGCCUUCGGGUUGUAAAGCUCUGUUGUAAGGGAAGAACGGUAGAUAGAGAAUAUCUAAGUGACGGUACCUUACCAGAAAGCCACGGCUAACUACGUGCCAGCAGCCGCGGUAAUACGUAGGUGGCGAGCGUUAUCCGGAAUUAUUGGGCGUAAAGGGUGCGUAGGCGGCCUGUUAAGUAAGUGGUUAAAUUGUUGGGCUCAACCCAAUCCAGCCACUUAAACUGGCAGGCUAGAGUAUUGGAGAGGCAAGUGGAAUUCCAUGUGUAGCGGUAAAAUGCGUAGAUAUAUGGAGGAACACCAGUGGCGAAGGCGGCUUGCUAGCCAAAGACUGACGCUCAUGCACGAAAGCGUGGGGAGCAAAUAGG
rnacentral:rRNA from 1 species